rnacentral:rRNA from 1 species
AGCGAACAGGAUUAGAUACCCUGGUAGUCCAUGCCGUAAACGAUGAGUGCUAGGUGUUGGAGGGUUUCCGCCCUUCAGUGCCGGAGCUAACGCAUUAAGCACUCCGCCUGGGGAGUACGACCGCAAGGUUGAAACUCAAAGGAAUUGACGGGGGCCCGCACAAGCGGUGGAGCAUGUGGUUUAAUUCGAAGCUACGCGAAGAACCUUACCAGGUCUUGACAUCUUGCGCCAACCCUAGAGAUAGGGCGUUUCCUUCGGGAACGCAAUGACAGGUGGUGCAUGGUCGUCGUCAGCUCGUGUCGUGAGAUGUUGGGUUAAGUCCCGCAACGAGCGCAACCCUUGUUACUAGUUGCCAGCAUUAAGUUGGGCACUCUAGUGAGACUGCCGGUGACAAACCGGAGGAAGGUGGGGACGACGUCAGAUCAUCAUGCCCCUUAUGACCUGGGCUACACACGUGCUACAAUGGACGGUACAACGAGUCGCGAACUCGCGAGGGCAAGCAAAUCUCUUAAAACCGUUCUCAGUUCGGACUGCAGGCUGCAACUCGCCUGCACGAAGUCGGAAUCGCUAGUAAUCGCGGAUCAGCAUGCCGCGGUGAAUACGUUCCCGGGCCUUGUACACACCGCCCGUCACACCAUGAGAGUUUGUAACACCCAAAGUCGGUGGGGUAACCUUUUAGGAGCCAGCCGCCUAAGGUGGGACAGAUGAUUAGGGUGAAGUCGUAACAAGGUAGCCGUAGGAGAACCUGCGGCUGGAUCACCUCCUUUCUAAGGAA